UACGAAGGGGGCUAGCGUUGCUCGGAAUCACUGGGCGUAAAGGGUGCGUAGGCGGGUCUUUUAAGUCAGGGGUGAAAUCCUGGAGCUCAACUCCAGAACUGCCUUUGAUACUGAAGAUCUUGAGUUCGGGAGAGGUGAGUGGAACUGCGAGUGUAGAGGUGAAAUUCGUAGAUAUUCGCAAGAACACCAGUGGCGAAGGCGGCUCACUGGCCCGGAACUGACGCUGAGGUGCGAAAGCGUGGGGAGCAAACA
rnacentral:rRNA from 1 species